ACAUGAUGCACUAGCCGUGGCGCCUGCUACACACGAGCUCUGGAAACCUCAGCUGCCCUCAUCGCUUCCUGCCAUUCUGGAAGAAAAGUUAAAAUUGGAAUUAGCAGUAACACGGGCCUCUCAGAGUUUUGAAUAAAUAGUGCUGUAACUCAUCCUAGUAACUUAACUGGGAACCAGGCAUCUCAGCUGGUGUUGCAAAGUCACGCAGGGCUGGGGAUCCCCGAGCCCCCUGGGUGAGCUGGGUCUUGCCUAUUAGCUCUGUAGACAAGGCAGGUUCCAAAGGGCAGUGCGAAUGUGCUUCGAGUUUUACAAAAUUCUGUGAGUUCAAAGCCUUUGGAUAUCUGAGUCUGUCUUAAGAGAGCCUCAAGCUAAUAUUCACACAAUUGUGUGUCUCGGUAUACAGUUUAAAUGCUGGCAUUUAGCUUAGAGAACAAAGAAAACGUGAAGUCAAAGAAGGAACAAAAGCAUUAUAUCCUAUCAAAAAAUAACCAAAUACUAUUCAACCAUUUUGAAAAUUUCUGAUUCUGGCAUUGGGGAAAGUGGCUGCAGAUGACGGUGAUGCAUGCCCAGCAAGUGGAGGAGGCCGGGGGCAGAAUGUUGCCCAGGUGCUGGGUCGGUUCUGGGUUCUCCGUGGGGGCUGGGUCGGUUGUGGGAUCUCCUCGGGGGCUGGGUCGGUUCUGGGGUCUCCUCGGGGGCUGGGUCGGUUGUGGGAUCUCCUCGGGGGCUGGGUCGGUUCUGGGGUCUCCUCGGGGGCUGGGUCGGUUGUGGGAUCUCCUCGGGGGCUG
rnacentral:lncRNA from 1 species